rnacentral:rRNA from 1 species
GACGAACGCUGGCGGCGUGCUUAACACAUGCAAGUCGAACGGAAAGGCCCUGCUUUUGUGGGGUGCUCGAGUGUCGAACGGGUGAGUAACACGUGAGUAACCUGCCCUUGACUUUGGGAUAACUUCAGGAAACUGGGGCUAAUACCGGAUAGGAGCUCCUGCUGCAUGGUGGGGGUUGGAAAGUUUCGGCGGUUGGGGAUGGACUCGCGGCUUAUCAGCUUGUUGGUGGGGUAGUGGCUUACCAAGGCUUUGACGGGUAGCCGGCCUGAGCGGGUGACCGGCCACAUUGGGACUGAGAUACGGCCCAGACUCCUACGGGAGGCAGCAGUGGGGAAUAUUGCACAAUGGGCGGAAGCCUGAUGCAGCAACGCCGCGUGCGGGAUGACGGCCUUCGGGUUGUAAACCGCUUUCGCCUGUGACGAAGCGUGAGUGACGGUAAUGGGUAAAGAAGCACCGGCUAACUACGUG